AGCAGCCGCGGUAAUUCCAGCUCCAAUAGCGUAUAUUAAAGUUGUUGCAGUUAAAAAGCUCGUAGUUGAAUUUCGGGGUUAGUAGAUUGGUCAUGCCUCUGGUAUGCACUGGUCUUACUGAUUCCUCCUUCCUGAUGAACCGUAAUGCCAUUAAUUUGGUGUUGCGGGGAAACUGGACUGUUACUUUGAAAAAUUAGAGUGUUUAAAGCAGGCUAACGCUUGAAUACAUUAGCAUGGAAUAAUGAAAUAGGACGUUCGAUCUUAUUUUGUUGGUUUCUAGGAUUGACGUAAUGAUUAAUAGGGAUAGUUGGGGGCAUUAGUAUUCAAUUGUCAGAGGUGAAAUUCUUGGAUUUAUUGAAGACUAGCUACUGCGAAAGCAUUUGCCAAGGAUGUUUUCAUUAAUCAAGAACGAAAGUUAGGGGAUCGAGGACGAUCAGAUACCGUCGUAGUCUUAACCAUAAACUAAUGCCGACUAGGGAUCGGAUGAUGUUAA
rnacentral:rRNA from 1 species